rnacentral:rRNA from 1 species
GACGAACGCUGGCGGCGUGCCUAAUACAUGCAAGUUGAGCGCUGAAGGUUGGUACUUGUCCCAACUGGCUGAGCAGCGAACGGGUGAGUAACGCGUGGGGAAUCUGCCUUUGAGCGGGGGACAACAUUUGGAAACGAAUGCUAAUACCGCAUAAAAACUUUAAACUCAAGUUUUAAGUUUGAAAGAUGCAAUUGCAUCACUCAAAGAUGAUCCCGCGUUGUAUUAGCUAGUUGGUGAGGUAAAGGCUCACCAAGGCGAUGAUACAUAGCCGACCUGAGAGGGUGAUCGGCCACAUUGGGACUGAGACACGGCCCAAACUCCUACGGGAGGCAGCAGUAGGGAAUCUUCGGCAAUGGACGAAAGUCUGACCGAGCAACGCCGCGUGAGUGAAGAAGGUUUUCGGAUCGUAAAACUCUGUUGGUAGAGAAGAACGUUGGUGAGAGUGGAAAGCUCAUCAAGUGACGGUAACUACCCAGAAAGGGACGGCUAACUACGUG